AUCAAAAGUCUCAGAUACU
rnacentral:miRNA from 1 species